AUUAAGUUGACUGCCCCAGCAGAAGUUUCUCCUUGAACCCGUUCGGCCUUGCUGUGGUCGUGCUGGCUGUGCCCCGGUUUUCCCCUGGGAGUGCCACGUUGCGACCGUUACACUUUGGCGGGAUCGGGUGGCUAGAGUGUACAUGUAUUGGUCAGUUCUGCCCAUUGCCACAUCACCAUUCCCAAACAAGUCAGCACCAAGCAGGGCUGCUGCCUGCUAUGCUGCAUGCUUCGUUCCAUCAUUAUAAAUUGAGCUACAAUAUUCAGUUUCUUGUAAAGAUCAUCUGGUUCCUCUGCAUAUAUACGUAGGAAUGGUGGACCCCCUUUCAUAGUGACUUCCAUUUUGACUGCACACAAGUGGAUGUUUUCUACGGAAGGCAGAGUCGUUAUAAUAGUGUCUCUACAGACAGGUCUAGCCUUCCUGUCCUGCUAUUCAUGUUCUCAAUUCGGAGUACCAAGUAGAACCCGCCACGUUAGAAUUCGUACAGAGAUGCUUCAUGAGAAUCUGGAAUGUGGGACCAAAUGCACAAGAAGAGGGGAAAUCAAACGCACAGGUCAGGACGUUCAGAGGAAGAGAGAAAAGAUCAAUUGCCAUGUUGCAACAUUUUGUUUGCAAACGUGUAGACUAUAAGUGGAAGUGAUUAUAUUGUUGAAAGAUCUAAAGAAUGACGAAUGCCACAGAUAAACUUUGAUGAGAGUAUCAAGAGUUCAAAAAGUUUUACUCCAUGUGAAUCCAAAGUUUACCAAAACGAGUCACUUAAAGGUACAAGAUCUAUUACCCAGGCCUGAUUUUACCUUGAAAAAUAUAUUUAAAUGUGUAAUUACUAUUUCUGUGUGAUCUCCAAAGAGAUAAGCCUUCAGAUGCGACACGCCAAAUAAAAACCAUCCACGGAUAAACCCACAGCUAUCUAGAAAAUGUGCUAGUACAUGUAUAUCCACUCAUUAAAUUAAUAAAACAAAUGAUAACAUAAAUAUAAUCACAGAAAAUUGUUGUAACACUUAGAAUGGCCUUGUCCAGUACUAAGGUCACCACAGGCAAUAAUGUUCUGUAUACACAAUUUUGUGGAAUGUGUAAACCUUUUCUUAACAUCUGUACAAUUGUUCUGAAAAAGAACAAGAUGUGGUUUAUUAGUUAAAAACCCUUGGAAUAACAAAUGAUUUUGAACAAUCAAUUCAAUUGAAGAAUAGAAAGAUGUCUAAUUGUGUUUCAACAUUUGUUCUUAACUAAAUAUUUGAAUUAUUUGAACAUAAUAAAAAAUCUUUCUCGUAUUAUUAGUUAUCAUUGUUCAAAUUUCACGCAAUAAAGAGAAUAAAAGUUUCAAACGAGGAACAGUUGUCAUCUGUGUGCAAUUUUUGUAAAUUUUUUACUGGAUCAGUAGGC
rnacentral:lncRNA from 1 species